rnacentral:lncRNA from 1 species
AGAAUAUAUUAUACUGACCUGUAUGAACGCCAUUUUUGAAUUGAACGGUGAGUAGUAAUAAAGCACUGAUGAAAAAUAAAAAACAACGUUGAGAACUAGUUGUGACUGUUCUAGAACACUGUUGGAUUCAGUAUGAUCUGUACAGCCGACGGGACGGUGCAUUUAUACUAAAAGGGAGGCAUCGAGCGUCCCCACGCUCGCCAGUCGCUCAUUGGUCAAUUGUCCAUCCACGUGCGUCCGCGGUCGUUUUAGGCCGAUGAUAUUAUUAUUUCUUUUUUUAUCAACCAUCGCGGCCGCCGUCACUACAAUCGCUCUCACAAUAAUCGUUUUUGUUUGAUUAUUAUUAUAUUAUUUAUUUAGUUUUGUAUCAUUUUUUUUUACAGUCGGUGUUAUGGUAAAAUGGUAAAUAUAUGAUUUUUGCGAACCUUGGACUAAAUACUUAGCGAGUGUCAGUCAAGAAACGUGCAUUCUGCAGUAUACAUGUUACAUGCUAUAUUUCUGUUUGCAGGACCUGCAGUAAUCAUAAUAUUUUUUAGUGUUCGUACUUCAUAUCCUGCGUACAAAUAAUUUAAUAUUUUUUCUUCAUCAGUGUAAUAGUAAUUUCCAUUUACAAAAUACUAUCGGAAUGAAUGAGAUGUUGUACAAACUUACAUCUGUUUCCUGCGGGUUAAACCGUUCACGUGCGAAAUUCCAAAAUGUAUCGGAGUCCAACUCCUGGGAAGAAUAAUACGUAUAUGUGAGUCAUCGCCUAGAAUCUAUAGUUAGUGGUGCAUUGUGGUUCCAGGACGACACUACAGGAACGAGUACCUACAUCAUCACAGCCAUCACGAUGUACUGCGUAUAAUUAAAUAAAUAUUUCGCUUUUGUUCAUACAUUAUUUAUUUAUUUUACGGAAUUAAUUCCAUUUACAAUAAUGUAUAGCGUUGACAUGAUACCUAUGAUGAACAUUAGUUAAGUAAUUUACGUAUUAUUUAGAUCACAACUAUACAGUUAUGAGUUAUAAGUUAUAAAUUAUAAUUUACGACUAUUUGAAACCAAUUUGUGUUUUUGUAUGUGUCCGAUUAAAUGCUAUUACACGUGAACGUAAACGUAUUACGUGUAAGUUGAACAUA